rnacentral:lncRNA from 1 species
UCAGCACGACUCGCAAACCACGUUCGCAUCCAUGCCCGCCUGAACCUCACCGACGUGGCCUCCAUGCGGUAAAAGCUUCGUAUAUCUACUGCUCCUGCCCUCAUCCGUUUUACCUUGUCGUCUUUUCACCGAGUGAACGGACACUCGUGUGAGCCUGUGCCAUCUCCGGUCGUCCCUCGCGUUGCCGUUUCCUCCUCAUGAACCAGCCACCAACCACCUCUCUAGCUCCACCGCAACGCCCUGCAACCGCUAGUAGUCCGGUUCGUCGCUGCCAAGCCCGGGAAUCGUCGUUGUUUUUCGUCCGUUCACCGUCAUCUCGGUGCUCACGGUGAGCUCUCCAUGUCGCUGUUCUACCUUCGAUUGGUGAGACGUGGGCGCAUCACGGGUUCAUAGGGAAGCCAUAGGUUGCGUCACCCCCCGUUGUUAAGCCGUCACCGUGUGCAGCCAUGGCCGGCUGGUGUCCAAGCCGCCGCCGCCCGUGGAGGGGCCGGCCCAGACCGCCUCCAGGGGAGCCGCUGCCACCCUUGGGUGCGCCGCGACCUGGGGUUGCUCCCCAGCUCGGCCAUGCCGCCGGGGAGGCACCAUCGGCGAGGCCCCGCCCCUGCAGUCGCGCCCUGCCUUGGGCGUAGGGAGGAAGAAGCCCUUGGCGCUGGGGCCCACGAGCUAGGGAAAGUAAAGGAGAGGGAGAGAGGGGCCAGUCCAAGGGGCCCAGGUGCUAGAGAGAGGGGGUAGAAAGGAGUUUGGUGAGAAAAGUUGGACCGGGAGUUUUGGAUAAUCAUAGAUUUUUCCUUUUGCAGAUAAAUAGUUUAAAUUCGUUUAUCACCAUUAAUUCAUUAGAAAUUGUAGAAAUGUCCAAAAAUAGUGAAACCAAUUUUAUUAGGAUUGUUUUAUUUUCUUUUAUGCAUUAAAAGUUUUAAACCCUAGGAAAAAUAUAAAAUUAGGUAUUUAUUUAAUGCCUUUUAAGGUAUUUAAAUAAAUGCUUAACCUUUAUUAAAUGCAUAAAAUUCUGAAUAAUGCUUUCUUAUUCACAAAUUAUUAUUAAAUCAUAGGGAUUAAGUUUUGAGAUUAGAAAAUAUUUAUAAUGCUUUUCUAAAAUAAAAAGAAAAGGGCUUAAAGUAGGUUAGUAAAGAAAUUAAAAAUUGUGGGUUAAUCUUUAUGGGUAGCAUAGUGUUGGCUUGCAACUUUAUCUUAGAGGAAAGUUGUAUAGUUGUGUGUUUAAAAGUUUGCAUAUCUAACCCUGCAUGUACUUAAUCGUAGACACUGAAGCUCCAGAAGCGGAAUUCUUGGAAUUCUCUGAAGAACCUUCGGAGUUUGAGGAGAUUGUUGAGUUGAUCCCCUGUGAAGCAGGACCGUCAGAAGACACUAACCUUUUUACGGAUCAAGGCAAGCCCCGGUGCAUCUAUGCCUAUCUAUUUUGGAGUUAUUAUUUCAUGUGUCCAAUUAUUGGUUAUUUUCUUUACGAAUGCAUUAAGUCUAGGAUUUGAUUGAAACCUACUCAUGUGCAUGAUCCUACCUUGUUUAGAGGACAUCUUUGCCACUUGUUCACUAAUUAGUAACUACCUAUGCUUAGCAAUGCUUAGAAACCUUCAAGCAACUCGGUUGCUUAACUCUAAGGUUAAGUUGGUCAUACAUGUUAAUCAAGGAAAUGGCCUGAGAUUUUGGAAAUGUGGACAGAAGUUAGAGAUGGUAGUUCUAUCUACUAAAGUUAAUUGGUUAAGGUUCGAUCGUUGUCUUAACCUUUGAUCAAGUGAUUUUUACCUGGUUGCUUACUGGGUAUGGACUAGUAAAGCUUGGUAGGUUAGUUGGCUCUCUGAUCGGGAAUAUUUUGUACCCGUGCUUGACGUGCUGGAGAAUGGCAGGGGCGUAGCCUGAAACUCACAUAGAGAUCAGGCCAGACGUGGGGUCCCAUGUGAGGGUGCGUCCCUGGGUUCGGGUAGUCAUAUUUCCAAUAUUUGGGUACAACUAAUCGAAAGGUUGUUGUGUACAACCCGUACAGUUGUACAUGGCUGGUGGUCGGGUAUCACCUGCAGGAUGUAAAUCAGUCCGGAUCACCACAAUUCUCGGUUAUGAAUGCACUUUGAUCACCAUUAAGCAUCGUAGUGUGAUCCAGUUGAAUACAAUAUUUUUUCUGAAAUUAGUAUGAUGUAUGACUUAGUUCCAAUGAGUGCUCAAAAAUAUUUUAUUCAUCUAGACUGGUUAGGUAACAAUUAAAUAGAAAUAAAAGAAUAAAGUUAAGGUUCCACUUAUAGUAAGCCUUUUCGCAAAAAUGUGAGUCAACCAGUACACUAAACAACUAUCAUUCAGUUUUGGAAAAACUAUCUAUAUUGGUUAGUCGGGUCAGUCUUGCUGAGUACCCUCGUACUCAGGGGAUCCUUCAUUGUUGUUUCAGAAACUCAAUAGGAGCCCGCUGAGGGAGAAGCCCCGAAGAACUAGGGUAUUUAUGAGUCUCACAAUACCCUAGAAUAAAACUCAGCUGUUUAAUUAUUACCUGGACUAGUUUAUGUUAUAAACUCUUAGAACUGCUCUAGCAUUGUUAAGUUUGUUUCAAACUAUGGUUUGUAAUAAUUCGCACCUUGAUAUGUAUGUAAAAAUGUAAUAUUUGUUGAGACAUUCCCAUCGUGGAAGUGAUCCUAAUGUAUGGCUAUGGAUCACAUCGUGGAUGUUUCGAGGAAUCCUAGAGGCACUCGACGGACUACCAGACUUAUACUGUUUUAAGUGCGUUUCGGAUAAUUGUUGUUCUGACAGCGAUUAAACGCACUUAAGCCAGUUUAAGUUGGGCGGUUCCGCCACAGCUCCCCCCCUCCGAAACCCAAAACCUAACCACCACCGCCUCG